rnacentral:lncRNA from 1 species
UGGUCAGAAGGAAACCCAUUGCAUACAAGACAAUCCUAAAAAGAGAGUGGUGGGCAUACAAGAGCCUUUUAACAAGAACUGUUCGGGAUCGACACAUUGCUACUGGUUAUCGUGCGAUAAGACCAUUUCGGAGACCUUUGCUUACGAACAGACACACAGUUUUCCGUAUCGAAUGUAGUGCAGAGCUCGCCAAAGUUGGAAAUUAGCAUCGUGGAGGAAGAUCCAUUGUUUCAAUGGAAUUCGUUUCAUCUUCCUUGGCCCGAUCGUAGCCCGGAUUUGAACCAUAUCGAACGUAUAUGGGACACUAUUGGGCGGAAAGUGCGCGAAAGGACACCCCAGUUCAAACACAUCAUGAAAUAAACAAUGCCCUUCAUUAGAAAUGGUUGCUGCUACCUUAGCAACAAAUUAGUCGAUUUCUGGCAGGAAUCAGAAGACGUUUAGACGCGGUUAUCCGUUUGAAUAGAGGCUGCGCACAAAGUACUAAUUCUUUGGCGUAUAACGAUCAACCAUGAUGUGAACAGUCAUCUGAAGAUUAAUUUUGAAAUGUCUGACAUUGUAAAGUUCGACUACAGUAAAAGUUGUAAAAUGCAGUUUUUUGUACAAAAAACACUUCAUUUUGUUAUUAAAAUUGUGGUUAUAUAAAUCAUUUUUUUUCAAACAUUUUUUGUUCGUUUGAAUGCCAA